rnacentral:rRNA from 1 species
UACAGAGGUGGCAAGCGUUGUUCGGAAUUACUGGGCGUAAAGGGCGCGUAGGCGGCCUUCUAAGUCAGACGUGAAAUCCCCCGGCUUAACCUGGGAACUGCGUCUGAUACUGGGAGGCUAGAGUAUGGGAGAGGGAUGUAGAAUUCCAGGUGUAGCGGUGAAAUGCGUAGAUAUCUGGAGGAACACCGGUGGCGAAGGCGGCAUCCUGGACCGGUAUUGACGCUGAGGCGCGAAAGCUAGGGGAGCAAACGGG